GUAGUUGUGUCUGUGGAACACAGUACGCCAGGGGGGUUGGUUUCUUGGUGGGGCUUCAGUUGUGCAUCUUCUGUUUUUAGACUCCCUUCUGAAGAUGAACAAUUUCAAAGCUUGAGGUCAGCAUUUUGCUAUGAUGGCCCAGGUGCUUAAUAGGUGGAGUUUGUUUGCUUGUAAAGGUGGAUUGCAGCAGAACAAAUUUGAUGGCUUCUUUGUUCCUCCGUCACAGUGCAGAAAAGGCCCUUGGCCCAUUUAGUCUGCACUGACAUAGCUACCACUAAAGGUUUAUUUGAAAUAGUACUGCUCCUUCAUUAGGAGUUGAAGACUGAAGGACAACCUGAGGUUUACAAAAUUAAUGGAUAGCUGGAGACCUUUUUUUUCCCCCCCUCUGGAUGGAACUGUCAGUUCCUUGGAUGUACCUUUUCAAAAGUGACUGCUAACCUGCUUCCUGGGAUAAGGUCAUAUGGAAGAUUGAACAAGUAGGCUUGGCCUACUCCAUUGGAGUUAAGAAUGAGGUGAUAUUAUAACAUACACCCACCUGAAAAGACAUGAUAGGGUUGAUACACAAAGGAUGUUUCUUGCAAGCAAAAUUCAAGAUGGAGAGCAUGAUAUCAGAAAGAUGCCUCCUUGAAGAUAGGUGAGGGUAGCUGGUGUGCGCAAUUUACUUUCUCUGCAGAAGGUAGUGGAGGCUGGGUCUUGAAACAUACGUACCUUUUGAUAGACAAAGGAGUCGAGGGUAAUGGGAGGCAGACCAGGUGGAGUCGUGAUCACAACUCCAGCUAACUCAUUGGAUAGUGGAGCAGACUUGGACGUACCAAAUAACUUCUGCUUUCAAGUCUCAUUUGUGUUGGAGGACUUUUCAGGUUGAUUUGGUCUGUAGGUGUCAAAUUAACAUGACAAAGGCGCAGGGUGGUGUCUGAUUUGUUUUUUUGGGGGGAGGUUUCUUGUAAAACCUCUAGGGGAAAUGGCCUCAUUUUAAUUAAGUAACCUAAUAGCUUGUUUAUAUACAUGUUCUAAUCCAAAUAAGUCAACACUGCAUGUAACUGUCUUAAUUUCUUUGUAUGAUAUUGGUUAAUGACUACAUAUGGUCAUCCCUCUGGGAAAUUUUCUGCCACUUUGAUUUUAUUGUCAUGUCUGUGCCAGGAUCGGCAAGAUUCUUGUUUUCUACAUUGUUAUUCUCUGCUCCCAGUGUGGAUUUAUUGCCACACUGACCCAGGCUGUGCAGUUUAGGUUUGAAGGUAGAAUAACAGUCAUAGAGAUGUACAGCA